rnacentral:lncRNA from 1 species
AUAUGUCUCUUUGACUUGAUUGUAUUUAAAAACAAAAGACUCAGGAGGAAACUUUGACCUUCCCCCAACUGCCUAAGAAUUUAAGAGAGAAGGCAUGUUUCAGGUAGUGAUUAGCAUGAGAUAAAACUUAACUGGCUGGACAUUCCUUGCUCUGCCACCACUGAAGCUGAGAAAUCCUGGACCUCUGACAAGAGCUGGGAGAAAGUAAGAGUUCUUGCCACAUCAGUAUCCUACAUCAGUCCCUGAAGGAGAGUGGAACCUACACUGAAAUGUCUCUUAUUAAAUACCUGAUUGUUUGCUUACACAAGAUAGGCCUAACUUUGGAAAUCCACCUGCAUCACCACCUCCUGAAGUGAAUUUAACUGGACUGACCUAUUGUCAGGACUAAGAGACUUGAUCAAUGACAUGGAACAACCUGC